UUCAUGGGAACUGACAGUGAGCAUUUGAGGAUUAACGUGAAGAAGCUGAGCGAGGAGGCUCGUAGAGCAGUGUCUAGUGGUGGCUCCUCAUAUGAAAACCUGGAGAGAUUUGCUCAAGCAGUGAAAAUUUCCUAAACUUCAAUCCAAAGCUAAGAGAAAACUUCAAAGCAUCUACUCUAUUCAAGAAUAUACUACAGUUCUUUCUCUCUCUCUCUGAAGAUAAGCACGCGCUUUGCGCGUAUAAUGGGUUCCAAGGUCAAUGUUGUCGCAAUUCCUCUCCCAGCUCAAGGCCACAUCUCUCCACUCUUGCAUCUCUGCCAAGCUCUCACUUUCAUCCUUUGGGGGAUGCUAUCUCCAAAACACGCAACCAUGAGGGAAUGUGCUGGACUUUGUUACGUGCAAAAACCCAUGGCUAAUGUGCUAAUGUAGACUCUAAGGUGAUGCUUUAUAUCAGAAACUGAUGUGAGGAGAAGAAACUAAAGAAAAACAAAGAAAAAAUAAUAAUAAGAAAGAGAGUGUAAAGUUCUGGAGUCAAAGGGGAACCACAUGGGGAAACUUGAUAAAAGAAUUAAACACUAAAAAAUGGAAAAACAAAAAGUGAAAAAAACUAAAGAGCAAAGAACAGCUUAAAGAAAUACUAGCAAGAUUGGAAGAGCUCUAGAGGCCAGUUAGAAUGGCCAUUUGUCUCAAGUUGGUCCCUGGCAUAGAGCCCGAGUUCCUGGAGGCUUUCAAGGCUCUCCUUGCAAGUGAUCAGCUUUGGACAGGUUGUGAGCUGGGCUCCUCAACUGGAAAUCCUCCAGCAUCCUUCCACAGGCUGCGAGAGUGUAUCUUCAGCGGUGCCAAUCCUUUGCUGGCCAUGAGUUGCCAAGCAGAAUCUCAACUGCAAGCUUAUAGUGGAAGACUGGAAGAUCGAUCUUAAGUUCCCGCCCAUGAGAGAUCCUCGCAAGGUUUAGAUGUAAUGUGAAGGAGCUCAGCGAGGCUGCUCAGGGAGCAACAGUGAAAGAAGGCAGGAUCUUCAUAUGAAAGUUUGGACAAGUUUGUCAAGUUUCAUAAGGUAACUUAUAUCCAAUGCCGCAGCUGGUGGCAGGAGGAUCAUCGGGCAUGAGGGCGGGGCCAAUGCACAGACAGACCAACCACCAAGAGCACAUAAAGAUGAUACUUGAAAGUGUAUAGGUUGGUGGAAGUGUUAUUUUCCUUCCCAAAGAAAUAGAUGGCGUAAUCAAGAGGAGUAAAACAUUCCUGAAGGAGAACACUAGAUUAAAACAUUUGCAAAACGCACUGAUUCUUAAGCUCAGCCUUGGAGCGAUUUGAAGCUUAUCCAGAAAAGGUAUUGUGAGAAACGGCAGCACCUUCCAGAGCACUCACGAAGUAAGCUUGAAUUUUCUUUGUUCUUCGUCAAUGGGUUCUUCUACUGGUGCCGAGGGGCUCGCUCCUCAUGCAGCGGUUCUUCCCGUUCCAACCCAAGGCCACAUCACUCCAUUCCUCCAUCUCUCCAGAGCGCUGGCGUCGCGAGGCUUCGUCAUAACUUUCAUCAACACGGAGGCCAACCACAGGGACUUGAAGGACAUCGUUUCGCAGGAGGAGAGCUUUGGCUAUGGCGGCGGCAUUCGCUUCGAGACGGUCCCGGGCAUCCAAGCGAGCGACGUCGACUUCGCGGUCCCGGAGAAGCGGGGGAUGUUGUCCGAGGCAGUGAUGGAGAUGCAAGCUCCAGUGGAAAGCUUGCUCAUCAGGAACAUGGCCAGAGACGAUGAUCUCGUUCCUCCGGUCUCGUGCUUCAUCUCGGAUAUGUUCCCGUGGUCCGCGGAAGUAGCAAGAAGGACUGGAAUCCCAGAGGUCAAGUUCUGGACCGCCAGUGCCUCUUGCGUUUUGCUCGAUUGCUCGUUUCCGCGAAUGCUGGAGAAGGGAGACGUUCCAGUCCAAGGUAAAGCUUCUUUCUUCUUUUUUAUUUGUCCUUCACUAACGUGUUCCGCCAGAUCGUUCCAUUGAAAAGUACAUCACUUACGUAGACGGCUUGUCACCACUGCCAAUCUGGGGCCUCCCGCGCGACCUUUCUGCCAUUGACGAAUCAAGAUUCGCUCGCAGAUACGCUAGAGCCAAGAGCUACGCCACAACGUCGUGGGUUUUGGUCAACUCGUUCGAAGAACUCGAGGGCAGUGCCACCUUCCAAGCCCUCCGAGACAUCUCUCCCAAAGCAAUCGCAGUGGGUCCUCUUUUCACCAUGGUCCCCGGCUCCAACAAGGCAAGCUUGUGGAAGGAAGACACCGAGAGUUUAUCCUGGCUCGGCAAGCAAAGUCCCGGCUCGGUUCUCUACAUUUCCUUGGGCAGCAUGGCGACUCUCAGCUUCGAUCAGUUCAAGGAGUUCUCCGAGGGACUGACGCUUCUCCAGCGUCCGUUUAUCUGGGCCAUCCGACCCAAGUCGGUCGCCGGCAUGGAGCCCGAGUUCCUGGAGCGUUUCAAGGAGGCCGUGAGGAGCUUUGGACUGGUUGUGAGCUGGGCUCCUCAGGUGGACAUCCUCCGCCACCCUUCCACGGCUGGAUUUCUCAGUCACUGCGGCUGGAACUCCAUCCUCGAGAGCGUAGCAUCCGCGGUGCCCAUGCUUUGCUGGCCGUGCGUCGCGGAGCAGAAUCUAAACUGCAAGUUGAUAGUGGAGGACUGGAAGAUCGGUCUCAAGUUCUCGUGCGUGACCAUGCUGGAUCCUCCCGAGGUGAUGGCGAGGGACGAGUUUGUGGAGGUGGUGGAGCGAUUCAUGGGAACUGACAGUGAGCAUUUGAGGAUUAACGUGAAGAAGCUGAGCGAGGAGGCUCGUAGAGCAGUGUCUAGUGGUGGCUCCUCGUAUGAAAACCUGGAGAGAUUUGCUCAAGCAGUGAAAAUUUCCUAAACUUCAAUCCACGGCUAAGAGAAAACUUCAAAGCAUCUACUCUACUCAAGAAUAUACUACUCUUUCUCUCUCUCUCUGAAGAUAAGCACGCGCUUUGCGCGUAUAAUGGGUUCCAAGAUCAAUGUUGUGGCGAUUCCUUUCCCCUCUCCACUCUUGCAUCUCUGCCAAGCUCUCACUUUCAUCCUUUGGGGGAUGCUAUCUCGAAAACACGCAACCACGAGGGAAUGUGUUAGACUUUGUCAUGUGCAAGAACCCAUGGCUAAUGUGUUAAUGUAGACUCCAAGGUGAUGCCUUAUGUCAGAAACUGCUGCGAGGAAAAGAAACUAAAGAAAAACAAAGAAAAAAUAAUAAGUGUAAAGUUCUGGAGUUAAAAAGGAAUCACAUGAGGAAACUUGAUAAAAGAAUUAAACACUAAAAAAUGAAAAAACAAAGUGAAAAAAGCUGAAGAGUAAGGAACAGCUUAUAGAAAUACUAACAAGAUUGGAAGAGCUCUAGAGGCCAGUUAUAAUGGCCAUUUGUCUCAAGUUGGUCCCUGGCAUAGAGCCCGAGUUCCUGGAGGCUUUCAAGGCUCUCCUUGAAAGUGAUCAGCUUUGGAUUGGUUGUGAGCUGGGCUCCUCAACUGGAAAUCCUCCAGCAUCUUUCCACAAGCUGCGAGAGUGUAUCUUCAGCAGUGCCAAUCCUUUGCUGGCCAUGAGUUGCCAAGCAGAAUCUCAACUGCAAGCUUAUAGUGGAAGACUGGAAGAUCGAUCUUAAGUUCUCGCCCAUGAGAUAUCCUCGCAAGGUGGUGGCAGGGACGAGUUUGUGGAGGUGGUGGAGCAACUCAUGGGAGCUGCGAGUGGCAAUUCCUUUAGAUGUAAUGUGAAGGAGCUCAGCGAGGCUGCUCAGGGAGCAACAGUGAAAGAAGGCAGGAUCUUCAUAUGAAAGUUUGGACAAGUUCGUCAAGUUUCAUAAGGUAAUUUAUAUCCAAUGCCGCAGCUGGUGGCAGGACGAUCAUCGGGCAUGAGGGCGGGGCCAAUGCACAGACAGACCAACCACCAAGAGCACAUAAAGAUGAUACUUGAAAGUGUAUAGGUUGGUGGAAGUGUUAUUUUCCUUCCCAAAGAAAUAGAUGGCGUAAUCAAGAGGAGUAAAACAUUCCUGAAGGAGAACACUAGAUUAAAACCUUUGCAAAACGCACUGAUUCUUAAGCUCAGCCUUGGAGCGAUUUCAAGCUUAUCCAGAAAAGGUAUUGUGAGAAACGGCAGCACCUUCCAGAGCACUCACGAAGUAAGCUUGAAUUUUCUUUGUUCUUCGUCAAUGGGUUCUUCUACUGGUGCCGAGGGGCUCGCUCCUCACGCAGCGGUUCUUCCCAUUCCAACGCUACGCCACAUCACUCCAUUCCUCCAUCUCUCCAGAGCUCUGGCCUCGCGAGGCUUCGUCAUAACUUUCAUCAACACGGAGGGCAACCACAGGGACUUGAAGGACAUCGUUUCACAGGAGGAGAGCUUUGGCUAUGGCGGCGGCAUUCGCUUCGAGACGGUCCCGGGCAUCCAAGCGAGCGACGUCGACUUCGCGGUCCCGGAGAAGCGGGGGAUGUUGUCCGAGGCAGUGAUGGAGAUGCAGGCUCCAGUGGAAAGCUUGCUCAUCAGGAACAUGGCCAGAGACGAUGAUCUCGUUCCUCCGGUCUCGUGCUUCAUCUCGGAUAUGUUCCCGUGGUCCGCGGAAGUAGCAAGAAGGACUGGAAUCCCAGAGGUCAAGUUCUGGAUCGCCAGUGCCUCUUGCGUUUUGCUCGAUUGCUCGUUUCCGCGAAUGCUGGAGAAGGGAGACGUUCCAGUCCAAGGUAAAGCUUCUUUCUUCUUUUUUAUUUGUCCUUCUUUCGAGAAGCACUAACGUGUUCCGCCAGAUCGUUCCAUUGAAAAGUACAUCACUUACGUAGACGGCUUGUCACCACUGCCAAUCUGGGGCCUCCCGCGCGACCUUUCUGCCAUUGACGAAUCAAGAUUCGCUGGCAGAUACGCUAGAGCCAAGAGCUUCGCCACAACGUCGUGGGUUUUGGUCAACUCGUUCGAAGAACUCGAGGGCAGUGCCACCUUCCAAGCCCUCCGAGACAUCUCUCCCAAAGCAAUCGCUGUGGGUCCUCUUUUCACCAUGGCCCCCGGCUGCAACAAGGCAAGCUUGUGGAAGGAAGACACCGAGAGUUUAUCCUGGCUCGGCAAGCAAAGUCCCGGCUCGGUUCUCUACAUUUCCUUGGGCACCAUCGCGACUCUCAGCUUCGAUCAGUUCAAGGAGUUCUCCGAGGGACUGAGGCUUCUCCAGCGUCCGUUUAUCUGGGCCAUCCGACCCAAGUCGGUCGCCGGCAUGGAGCCCGAGUUCCUGGAGCGUUUCAAGGAGGCCGUGAGGAGCUUUGGACUGGUUGUGAGCCGGGCUCCUCAGGUGGACAUCCUCCGCCACCCUUCCACGGCUGGAUUUCUCAGUCACUGCGGCUGGAACUCCAUCCUCGAGAGCGUAGCAUCCGCGGUGCCCAUGCUUUGCUGGCCGUGCGUCGCGGAGCAGAAUCUAAACUGCAAGUUGAUAGUGGAGGACUGGAAGAUCGGUCUCAAGUUCUCGUGCGUGACCAUGCCGGAUCCUCCCGAGGUGAUGGCGAGGGACGAGUUUGUGGAGGUGGUGGAGCGAUUCAUGGGAACUGACAGUGAGCAUUUGAGGAUUAACGUGAAGAAGCUGAGCGAGGAGGCUCGUAGAGCAGUGUCUAGUGGUGGCUCCUCAUAUGAAAACCUGGAGAGAUUUGCUCAAGCAGUGAAAAUUUCCUAAACUUCAAUCCAAAGCUAAGAGAAAACUUCAAAGCAUCUACUCUAUUCAAGAAUAUACUACAGUUCUUUCUCUCUCUCUCUGAAGAUAAGCACGCGCUUUGCGCGUAUAAUGGGUUCCAAGGUCAAUGUUGUCGCAAUUCCUCUCCCAGCUCAAGGCCACAUCUCUCCACUCUUGCAUCUCUGCCAAGCUCUCACUUUCAUCCUUUGGGGGAUGCUAUCUCCGAA
rnacentral:lncRNA from 1 species